rnacentral:ncRNA from 1 species
CCUUAUCGAGAGCGGUGGAGGGAACGGCCCUGUGAAACCCGGCAACCUGCGUUGUUUUGCAACGUAAGGUGCCAAAUCCGGCGUAAGAAUACGAAAGAUGAGG